rnacentral:rRNA from 1 species
GACAGAGGUGCCAAGCGUUAGGCGGAAUCACUGGGCGUAAAGCGCACGUAGGCGGACUCUUAAGUCGGUGGUGAAAUCCUGGAGCUCAACUCCAGAACUGCCUUCGAUACUGAGAGUCUCGAGUCCGGGAGAGGUGAGUGGAACUGCGAGUGUAGAGGUGAAAUUCGUAGAUAUUCGCAAGAACACCAGUGGCGAAGGCGGCUCACUGGCCCGGUACUGACGCUGAGGUGCGAAAGCGUGGGGAGCGAACAGG